GGCCUUUGUUCAUUUUUGUCUUUGAGAACUUUAUGUUACAAUUAAAAAGAAAAAAAAAAGCACAAAAACAGAGUAAUCUUAAAAAGCAAAUACAGUGCAAUUGCUUGAGCUGUUGCAACAACACAAAAUUCCAAUGCAAAUUAAAUAUAUAAUCCAGAGUUCUCAUCGAGGCGCAGCAGAAAUGAAUCCAACUAGGAACCAUGAGGUUGCAGGUUCAAUCCCUGGCCUUGUUGAGUGGGUUAAGGAUCCGGCAUUGCCGUGAGCUGUGGUGUAGGUCGCACAGACUCGGCUCAGAUCCUUCGUUGCUGUGGCUGUGGCGUAGGCUGGCGGCUGAGCUCCGACUGGACCCCUAGUCUGGGAACCUCCAUAUGCCAUGGGUACGGCCAUUAAAAAAGCAAAAAAGAAAAUAAAUAUAUAUAUUAUAUAUAUGUGUGUGUGUGUGUGUAACACAUAAUUUUUAAGAUUUUACUCUUACUACUUGACUAAUAAUGUUUAAAAGGAAAGAAAAGUGCUGCCUUUCUCCAGUGACACUGGGCACUUCCUGCCAUCACAACAGCAAGGGAAGCAGACAGAACAAGACCUAAAGUCAUCUGUGCAUUUUCUAUAUGUCGAGUCUCUACGUAAGAUAAUGUUUGCAGCCUUUACUUCUAUACUUAAUAUAACAUAUAGAUGUAGAAGUUCCAGCGUCUUACACCUUAGAGCAAUGCCAACAAAAAAUGUUUAAGGAACUAUCAUCCAAAGAAGACAUGACAUUUUGCAGCGCUUUCAGCUUAUCUUGAGAAAGGGCAAAUCAUAGACGUGGCUUGAAUCGAGCUGCCCAGACAUUAACGUUAACACAGAAACUCUGUUACCAUUAGCUCUUGCGCAGUCAAUGCCAGUCUUGUCAGCAUGCUCUUGAACAGGAGUCUCCCCUACUUUUAUGAACAGUAAUAAUGUAAAAGAUGCUCUCAAGUAAUGAACACAUUUACUAAAUGGGCCUCCAUUCACGCUAGGUAUACAUACGUGUAAACACACAUUUUAUUGGCCAGACUAUUAAGGGGCCCCAGACUACGUGUUCAUAUACAAAAUAUAACAUGCAUGCAUAUUUCCUUCACGUCGUGCAACUCUAAUACUCUGAUGUCAUAUUUCAAAGAAUGUUCUUCUAUUUCAAUCUAUAUGUUCUUAUCAAUAUUGAAAUAUGCCCUUUUUAGGGGAAAGCAAUGAGCAUGCGUAUUAGUUUCUACAGAAGCUCUGCUUUAAGCUUUCCUAAGAUGACCAUAUUCAAAUCGCAUAUACUAGCUCUCCAAGGCAGUAAAUAUAUACAGAUGUAUAAGAAUAUGUAUAUGUAUUAUUUCAUGAUAUCUGUAUCUUCUAAAGGGGUUUGAGUUAUGUUCCUAUUUAUUUUUUCCACAUGGUUUUCACAGCUUUAAAUGGGGACGUCUGUACUUCACUUCAUCCUUUGAUGUGGGUUUUCAAACUUAAGAGUAUAAAGCAAUCCCUCUUUUUAUCUUCUGCUACAUAAGACAUUUUUCUAACUUCACAUAUUUUUAACUUCCCUAAUUACAAGUUUCUGUCAUUUUCUUCAUCUGUCUUCAGACUGUGAAGUAAGGAGAAGAUAUAGUUGGUCAUGAGAAAUAAGAUGAUGAAACUUUGUAAAUAUUGAUGCUUCACCUCAAUGGUCUUUAAGCCUCGUGCUGUAAUAUGAACACCAUAUGUAUUCUGAUAGAGUCUUAGGAAGAAUAUCAGCCCCCAGAAUAACUCUCCUCAUGUUAUGCAUAUGGGGAAACAAAGGCACAGAACAAAAGCACCUGCCCAACAGCUCAUAAAGGCUGUAUCUGCAUGCAUGAACUGAUUGAGAGGGAGCCAAAUAAUUUAAUUCAAAUCAUUUUUCAAAAUAACGCUCUUUUUGCUUUAGUAAUAUUUUUCUAACCUUUCAUUUUUAUACACAGCCAAAUUCUCUGCCAAAAUAGGGACAUCAAUUCAAAUAUCAUUAUUUUAAAUUUACAACAGUUUUUAUAGCUUGGGCAGAAUUUUGCCUUCAUAUAUCCAUGAAGAAAAAAAUUCUCCAAGUAAAUUAAACAAAUUUGCAUAGAGGAUGUUUAACUACAUAAAAUAGCUUUAUGGGCCACUGCUAAUUUAUAAGCAACCAUUUCACAACAAAAAAUUAAUAAGCAAGUCUUUGUUUUGUUUUGUUUUGUUUUUAGCUGCACCCGCAGCAGUGGAAGUUCAUGGGCCAGGGAUUGAACCUGUGCCACAACAGCAACCCUGGGCACUGCGGUGACAGUGCCAGAUCCUUAACCCACUGUGCCACAGGAGAACGCAAAAUCAUUUUUAAGUUUAUUGUUAAAAAUUCCUCUGCAUACCUUUAUUAGUAUGCUUGUAAAUCCAAUCCCAACUCUGGUUCAUUCGAAUUUUUAUGUCUGUCUCCCCCCUUUUCCCUUGAUACUGUAAUUGCCAUGAUGGCAAAACAAAUUUUUUUUUCGGUAUAAAAAUUUUUAAAUUUUAUUUUCAAAAUUAUCCUACAGUAAAAUCAAUAUUUGUUUUGAAUUAACACAUGAACGGAUUUAUUUAAUGACCACAGGAAUCAGAGCACAAAGCAAUUCCACUGUUCCAAAAAUUCCCUCUGGAGUUUUUUCUCCGUUAUAGUCAAAUUGCCCCCAACCCCUAACUCUGUUCAAGCACUGAUCAGUCUCCAACACGGCAAUUUUGUCUUUUUGUGAAUGUCAUCUGCAGUUGACCCUUGAACACACAAGGGUUAGAGACACCGACCUCCUGCACCCUUGAAAAUCCACCUAUAACUUUACAGUCAACCUUCCACAUCUGUGGUUUUACACCUGCAGAUCAAACAACUGUGUAUGGUAUUGUAAUGCAGUAUGUAUUUAGUGGAAAAAUCCAUUUAUAAGUGGACCCAUGCAGUUCAAAGCAAUGUUACUCAAAAGCCAACUGUCAAUGGCACUAUAUCGUAUGUACCUUUUAUUUUUUUUAGUAUGUUUGUUUUAUUUUAUUUAUUAAUUUAUUGUCUGCACCCACAUA
ensembl:lncRNA